rnacentral:rRNA from 1 species
UACGUAGGUGGCAAGCGUUAUCCGGAUUUACUGGGUGUAAAGGGCGUGUAGGCGGGACUGCAAGUCAGAUGUGAAAAUUAUGGGCUCAACCCAUAACCUGCUUUUGAAACUGUAGUUCUUGAGUGAUGGAGAGGCAGGCGGAAUUCCGUGUGUAGCGGUGAAAUGCGUAGAUAUACGGAGGAACACCAGUGGCGAAGGCGGCCUGCUGGACAUUAACUGACGCUGAGGCGCGAAAGCGUGGGGAGCAAACAGG